UACAGGGGGGGCAAGCGUUGUUCGGAUUUACUGGGCGUAAAGGGCGCGUAGGCGGCCUCUGCAAGUCGACUGUGAAAUCUCCGGGCUUAACCCGGAACGGUCAGCCGAUACUGCAGGGCUAGAGUGCAGAAGGGGCAACCGGGAAUUCUCGGUGUAGCGGUGAAAUGCGUAGAUAUCGAGAGGAACACCUGCGGCGAAGGCGGGUUGCUGGGCUGACACUGACGCUGAGGCGCGAAAGCUAGGGGAGCGAACGGG
rnacentral:rRNA from 1 species